UAAAUGUUUAAUCUCAAAUCUUUUGCUUUAGGCAAUGUGCCAUACAGUCAGAUGUAUGUUUCAACUAUAAUUUUUUGUCCCAGGUUGUUAGUUCAUUCUUCAGUGUUUUCGGUAAUGUUCAUCACUCUUUUAGCCUGAGUUCUGAGUUAAGCAAAACAGAGAUGAGUGCCUUCCAUCAUUCCUUUACAUAGUCCCCAGGCAAGUUAAAAUGGAUAUAUACAAUAAUUAGUGAAUAAGGUCUACUCUGCUCUCUCUGGAGUCAGGGACCAGGGUUUCUCCAUAGGAACAAAGGAUGCUGCUUCUUUAAGUACUGCUAUGCUGGGGAGGGCAUUGGAAAAGGGUAAGUAAAAUUGUCAUAAAACUUGCCUGCCAUUUUGAAAUGCCUUUUUCUUUAUUCAGUGCUCACUUGGUUGCUGAAAACUUUGGACUGUUUUCCAGAGUUCUGACAAAGUUGGUGCCAACAGUUCCUUCUUGUUUUUCUACAUUUCUUUUGAGGAAUGAAAUGCCUAAUUCACCAUUUUGCAGAUGUCAGUCUAGUGCAUGCUUCUUGAAAGCCGUAUUCUGUGAUUUUUAAAUUUUCACCUCUAGCAUUAUGCUUAACACAGGAAAAGGGCUAAAUAAACAUUGAAUAAACAUGUCAAUCUUGGUGAGCAUCUCGGCUUACAGCAGUGGAUGGGUGAGUGUCCAAGGCCUUUAUUCUGCUGUCUGAGAAGCCCAAAGCUCUGGAAGGACCUGACCUUUCUGAGUGGUGAAGAAUGCUGGGGGCUGGGGUGCAGACCAAAUGGUGCAAGUAGGGGUGGGGGUGCAGGCAGGAUGGCUGAACAGAAGAGCCACAAAUGCUCAAAGCCAGGAAGUUGAGUAUAGACAUGGUAUGUUGUAUUCUAUUUGUGAUUAUUCAUUUUUAAAUGGUUCAUGAUAAUGUGUGAAUAUAGGUAAACCAGUCAGCCAUAAUCUACAACCAGACUUCAGGAUGGCUUAAGCAGCACUGUAAGUGAUAGAAGUAGCUUUUGUGGAACGACCCAAUUUUUUUUCUUUGCACGAAUAAGGUAUACAUUGCCAAGCCCAGCAGUCUACACAUGAGGUCAACAAACCUUGUCCCAUGGGCCAACUGUGGCCUACCAGAAGUUUUUAAUAAAUAAGUUUAAUUGGAACUAGCCACUCUCCUCCAUUUAUGUAGUUGUCUUUGGUGACUUUUGCACUACAACAACAGAGUUGAAUAAUUGUGACAGAAACCACAUGGUUUGCAAAGCCUAAAAUAUUUACUCUCUGGUCCUUUACAGAAAAAAAUUUCUGACUCCUCCUCUAUAGCAUGAUACUUCUAGGACAGUUGGCAGGACAUAAAUAGCAUCCUUGCCUCACCCUUUUCUUCUCUUGAGUUUUAGAAACUAUUUCUCCUUUGCUAUCUUGCUUUUUGUGUUGUUAUUGGGCUAGCAAAUGCCAACCUGAUUUUUUUAUCUUUUUUUUUUUUUUUUUUUUUUUUUUUUUUUUGAGAUGGAGUCUUGGUCUGUCGCCCAGG